rnacentral:tRNA from 7 species
GCGCGAUUAGCUCAGUUGGUAGAGCAGGAUGUUUACACCAUCAAGGUCGCAGGUUCGAGUCCUGCAUCGCGCA